GCAGCUUGCCCAUGGGGUCGUGGGUCGCGAAGUAGUGCGCCGGGAAGUAGGUCGGCGCCGCCGACGUGCUGAUGCAGAUGUCCGAGAGGUGCGCGUUCUUGAGCGGGUCCACCUUGGCCUCGUACGUGUUGAAGAUGACCGGCUGCAGGUACUUGAUGUCGAACGUCGGGACUAUGAUGUUGGUGACGGUGUCGGCGACCGUCACGUCGUUGGUGAGGCUCUUGAUCUUGUCGUGCAGGAACUUACCGUCGUACUUGGGACCCUUCACCGCGCCGAACAGGUUCGCUAUCGGGGUCAGGAACCCCAACCUGUGUACGUACGUGAAGCAACGCUGGCGUCAACACGACGGUAUUGCCGGAAGGAGAGAAGAGAAGGGACACCGUGCGUGCGUGCGUGCGUGCGUGCGUACGUACCUCCUCUGCGGGAAGAUCUUGGGCCCGUUCUCAAG
rnacentral:lncRNA from 1 species